rnacentral:rRNA from 1 species
UACGUAGGGUGCAAGCGUUGUCCGGAAUUAUUGGGCGUAAAGAGCUCGUAGGCGGUUUGUCGCGUCGAAUGUGAAAACCCGGGGCUCAACCCCGGGCCUGCAUUCGAUACGGGCAGACUAGAGUUCGGUAGGGGAGUCUGGAAUUCCUGGUGUAGCGGUGAAAUGCGCAGAUAUCAGGAGGAACACCGGUGGCGAAGGCGGGACUCUGGGCCGAUACUGACGCUGGAGGAGCGAAAGCGUGGGGAGCAAACAGG